CCUACGGGAGGCAGCAGUGGGGGAUAUUGCACAAUGGGGGAAACCCUGAUGCAGCGACGCCGCGUGAGUGAAGAAGUAUUUCGGUAUGUAAAGCUCUAUCAGCAGGGAAGAAAAUGACAGUACCUGACCAAGAAGCCCCGGCUAACUACGUGCCAGCAGCCGCGGUAAUACGUAGGGGGCAAGUGUUACACGGAUUUACUGGGUGUAAAGGGAGCGUAGGCGGUUAUGUAAGUCUGGAGUGAAAGCCCGGGGCGCAACCCCGGGACUGCGUUGGAAACUGUGUAACUGGAGUACAGGAGGGGCAGGCGGAAUUCCUGGUGUAGCCGUGAAAUGCGUAGAUAUCAGGAGGAACACCGGCGGCGAAGGCGGCCUGCUGGACUGAAACUGACGUUGAGGCUCGAAAGCGUGGGGAGCGAACAGGAUUAGAUACCCCUGUAGUC
rnacentral:rRNA from 1 species